rnacentral:rRNA from 1 species
AACGAACGCUGGCGGCAUGCCUAACACAUGCAAGUCGAACGAGACCUUCGGGUCUAGUGGCGCACGGGUGCGUAACGCGUGGGAACCUGCCCUUAGGUUCGGAAUAACUCCCCGAAAGGGGUGCUAAUACCGGAUAAUGUCUUCGGACCAAAGAUUUAUCGCCUUUGGAUGGGCCCGCGUUGGAUUAGCUAGUUGUUAGGGUAAAAGCCUACCACGGCGACGAUCCAUAGCUGGUCUGAGAGGAUGAUCAGCCACACUGGGACUGAGACGCGGCCCAGACUCCUACGGGAGGCAGCAGGGGGGAAUAGUGGACAGUGGGCGAAAGCCUGAUGCAGCAAUGCCGCGUGAGUGAUGAAGGCCUUAGGGUAGUAAAGCUCUUUUACCCGGGAUGAUAAUGACAGUACCGGGAGAAUAAGCUCCGGCUAACUACGUG